ACACAGGUCAAGGCGAUACGACACUCGUAUAAUGUACGAGAUCAGUAUGCAACUACCAAUACGUUGACCACGUGGGUAAUAAAUUUGAAUCUGGACCAGACAAUCCA